AGAUUUUCAGAAAUAACAAAGUUUGAGGGAAGCAUUAUUAGGCCUGGAACUUGGUCUAUUGUCGGAAUUCAGAGCCAUAAAGCAUUGGACUUGGACAAGCAACAAACAAUCAAAGACGCGUACGUGACUGCUCCAUGGUUCAGAGCUCUUCCAUGGCAGCAACCAGCGGUCCCAAGGCCAAGUUAUUGUAAGAAAUGUGUUUCCAUGCACCUGCCUCGACCU